UACGUAGGGCGCAAGCGUUGUCCGGAAUUAUUGGGCGUAAAGAGCUCGUAGGCGGUCUGUUACGUCCGCUGUGAAAACCCAGGGCUUAACCCUGGGCUUGCAGUGGAUACGGGCAGACUAGAGGCAGGUAGGGGAGAAUGGAAUUCCCGGUGUAGCGGUGAAAUGCGCAGAUAUCGGGAGGAACACCGGUGGCGAAGGCGGUUCUCUGGGCCUGACCUGACGCUGAACUGCGAAAGCUAGGGGAGCGAACGGG
rnacentral:rRNA from 1 species